rnacentral:ribozyme from 1 species
UGCCCAGAAACUCCUAUCCCUACCUCAGCGUGGCACCGGCCGGAUUGCGAGCUACCUUAGGGAAGA